rnacentral:rRNA from 1 species
CGGACGGGUGAGUAGUACUUGGGAAUCUGCCUGAUGGAGGGGGACAACCACUGGAAACGGUGGCUAAUACCGCAUAAUCUCUUUGGAGCAAAGUGGGGGACCUUCGGGCCUCACGCCAUCAGAUGAGCCCAAGCAGGAUUAGGUAGUUGGUAGGGUAAUGGCCUACCAAGCCGACGAUCCUUAGCUGGUCUGAGAGGAUGAUCAGCCACACUGGGACUGAGACACGGCCCAGACUCCUACGGGAGGCAGCAGUGGGGAAUAUUGGACAAUGGGCGCAAGCCUGAUCCAGCCAUGCCGCGUGUGUGAAGAAGGCCUUCGGGUUGUAAAGCACUUUCAGUGGUGAGGAAGGGGUGCUAGUUAAUAGCUAGCACCAUUGACGUUAGCCACAGAAGAAGCACCGGCUAACUCCGUGCCAGCAGCCGCGGUAAUACGGAGGGUGCGAGCGUUAAUCGGAAUUACUGGGCGUAAAGCGCACGUAGGCGGUUUGUUAAGCAAGAUGUGAAAGCCCAGGGCUCAACCUUGGAAUAGCAUUUUGAACUGGCAAGCUAGAGUUUUGAAGAGGGUGGUAGAAUUUCCAGUGUAGCGGUGAAAUGCGUAGAUAUUGGAAGGAAUACCAGUGGCGAAGGCGGCCACCUGGUCAAAAACUGACGCUGAGGAGCGAAAGCGUGGGGAGCAAACAGGAUUAGAUACCCUGGUAGUCCACGCUGUAAACGAUGUCAACUAGUUGUUCGUUUCAUAAAUGAAGUGAGUAACGCAGCUAACGCACUAAGUUGACCGCCUGGGGAGUACGGCCGCAAGGUUAAAACUCAAAUGAAUUGACGGGGGCCCGCACAAGCGGUGGAGCAUGUGGUUUAAUUCGAUGCAACGCGAAGAACCUUACC